UACGAAGGGGGCUAGCGUUGUUCGGAUUUACUGGGCGUAAAGCGCACGUAGGCGGUUUGUUAAGUGAGAGGUGAAAUCCCAGAGCUCAACUCUGGAACUGCCUUUCAUACUGGCAAGCUAGAGUCCGGAAGAGGUAAGUGGAACUCCUAGUGUAGAGGUGGAAUUCGUAGAUAUUAGGAAGAACACCAGUGGCGAAGGCG
rnacentral:rRNA from 1 species